rnacentral:rRNA from 1 species
CCUACGGGAGGCAGCAGUAGGGAAUCUUGCGCAAUGGGCGAAAGCCUGACGCAGCCAUGCCGCGUGAAUGAUGAAGGUCUUAGGAUUGUAAAAUUCUUUCACCGGGGACGAUAAUGACGGUACCCGGAGAAGAAGCCCCGGCUAACUUCGUGCCAGCAGCCGCGGUAAUACGAAGGGGGCUAGCGUUGCUCGGAAUUACUGGGCGUAAAGGGCGCGUAGGCGGAUAGUUUAGUCAGAGGUAAAAGCCCAGGGCUCAACCUUGGAACUGCCUUUGAUACUGGCUAUCUUGAGUACGGGAGAGGUGUGUGGAACUCCGAGUGUAGAGGUGAAAUUCGUAGAUAUUCGGAAGAACACCAGUGGCGAAGGCGACACACUGGCCCGUUACUGACGCUGAGGCGCGAAAGCGUGGGGAGCAAACAGGAUUAGAUACCCUGGUAGUCCACGCCGUAAACGAUGAGUGCUAGUUGUCGGCAUGCAUGCAUGUCGGUGACGCAGCUAACGCAUUAAGCACUCCGCCUGGGGAGUACGGUCGCAAGAUUAAAAACUCAAAAUGAAUUGACGG